AGGACAAGGUCGUACAACCCUUAUAGAGCUAUUUAACGGAUCAAUCCAGCCCAACUGUGCUGGGCCACUAUCGAACUCCUCUCACUCUUUUAGCCGUGGCCGCCUCUGUCGUGACGAAACAAACACUUCAUUCGAAUUAGCCUUGAAUAGUUUUGUAGAAGAUAGAAAAAAAGUUUUUCUAGAAAUCGUGUUUCAACGCCCCCGGAACUGUUCGAUGACAAGACCCCGCCCGUCUCACAUUUUCAUUCCAAACAGCCCUUUUUUUUUUACUUUAUUAGAGAAAUCCUUGAGCCAUUCCAUGUUUGAGGUGGACUGAAACAAUAUGACACUAAAUCUCUUCAACAAAGAUGUCUAGGCUAUAAAACUGAGCUCGCUAGAAGAAAAGAACAGCUGACCAGCCAAGGGUAUUUGAUAGGCAGCUGUUCGAACUGAGAAUGGCCUUUGUUGGAUGUGACAACUUCUCUAGAAAAAUAAAGACAAUCCAGUGUUUCCAUCAAAGCAGUUUAGGGAAGAAGACAGUCAAUUCAUGACCAAUUAUGACCAAAAAUUAACAGAAGAAUAUCUGACUGCUCAUCAGGGCUAUGGAAAUUUGCCUAGCAACAACUUUAGGGAAAAAUCAAGAUGGAGAUUCAGGAGGGUCGGUAGAUGUCUCCGUAAGACAUUGGUAGUUCUCCCGUCGGUAGAUGGCGGUAUGAAUGUUCCGAAACUAGCCUCUUCUUCCACUCCCAUCAUCGCAAUUGUUCAUGUUCAUGGAAGAUUAAAACGACUUACGAUCAAUCUCUUCAUUGAAUAGAAAAGUUGUUUAAGGGGGGAAAUGCUUUGGAUUGUAUUUGUAACGGCAAUACAUAUCACAAACCAUUUCACACACGCAUAAUUUUGUAUUCUUAUUCGUUCUCCUCUGAGCGGAGGCGGGCGUUGGGGUUGGUGAUCUUGAUGGCCAACUGCUUGGCUCUUUCGACGAUGAUCUUGCGCUUCUUGGAAGAGACGGCA